GACGAACGCUGGCGGCGUGCUUAACACAUGCAAGUCGUACGGUAAGGCCCUUUCGGGGGUACACGCGUGGCGAACGGGUGCGUAACACGUGAGUAACCUGCCCACAACUUUGGGAUAACGCUAGGAAACUGGUGCUAAUACUGGAUAUGUGCUCCUGCUUCAUGGUGGGGGUGGGAAAGCUCCGGCGGUUGUGGAUGGACUCGCGGCCUAUUAGCUUGUUGGUGGGGUAGUGGGCUACCAACGCGGCGACGGGUAGCCGGCCUGGGAGGGUGACCGGCCACAAUUGGGCUGAGAGUAGGCCCAGACUCCGACGGGAGGCAGGAGUGGGGAAUAUUGCACAAUGGGCGCAAGCCUGAUGCAGCCACGCCGCGGGCGGGAAGACGGCCUUCGGGUUGUAAACCGCUUUCAGCAGGGACGAAGCUUUUUGUGACGGUACCUGCAGAAGAAGCACCGGCUAACUACGUG
rnacentral:rRNA from 1 species